rnacentral:rRNA from 1 species
CAAUAGCGUAUAUUAACGUUGUUGCAGUUAAAAAGCUCGUAGUUGGAUUUCUGGAGGGAGCGUCGGCCCGUAUUUACGAGUGCGUGACGUCUCUGUCCAUCCUUGCGGGAAGGCACGGCAUUGAUUUGUUGUGUCGGAUCGCAUCAUUUACUGUGAAAAAAUUAGAGUGUUCAAAGCAGGCUUUCGCUUGAAUACAUUAGCAUGGAAUAAUAAGAUAGGACUUUGGUGCUAUUUUGUUGGUUGAGCCUAAAGUAAUGAUUAAUAGGGAUAGUUGGGGGCAUUAGUACUUAACUGUCAGAGGUGAAAUUCUCGGAUUUGUUAAAGACUAACUUAUGCGAAAGCAUUUGCCAAGGAUGUUUUCAUUAA